rnacentral:rRNA from 1 species
UAGGGAAUCUUCGGCAAUGGGGGCAACCCUGACCGAGCAACGCCGCGUGAGUGAAGAAGGUUUUCGGAUCGUAAAGCUCUGUUGUAAGAGAAGAACGUGUGUGCGAGUGGAAAGUUCACACAGUGACGGUAACUUACCAGAAAGGGUCGGCUAACUACGUGCCAGCAGCAGCGGUAAUACGUAGGUCCCGAGCGUUGUCCGGAUUUAUUGGGCGUAAAGCGAGCGCAGGCGGUUUAAUAAGUCUGAAGUUAAAGGCAGUGGCUUAACCAUUGUGCGAUUUGGAAACUGUUAAACUUGAGUGCAGAAGGGGAGAGGGGAAUUCCAUGUGUAGCGGUGAAAUGCGUAGAUAUAUGGAGGAACGCCGGUGGGGAAAGCGGCUAUCUGGUCUGGAACUGACGCUGAGGCUCGAAAGCGAGGGGAGCAAACAGG